rnacentral:tRNA from 1 species
CGGGGUGUAGCGCAGGUGGUAGCGUGCUUGGUUCGGGACCAAGAGGCCGAGAGUUCGAGUCUCUCCACUCCGACCA